CCUACGUGUGGCUGCAGUGAGGAAUAUUGGUCAAUGGGCGCGAGCCUGAACCAGCCAAGUAGCGUGAAGGAUGACUGCCCUACGGGUUGUAAACUUUUUUUAUAAAAGAAUAAAGUGAGGCACGUGUGCCUUUUUGUAUGUACUUUAUGAAUAAGGAUCGGCUAACUCCGUGCCAGCAGCCGCGUUAAUACGGAGGAUCCGAGCGUUAUACGGCUUUAUUGGUUUUAAAGGGAGCGUAGAUGGGUUGUUAAGUCAGUUGUGAAAGUUUGCGGCUCAACUGGAAAAUUGCAAUUGAUACUGGCAGCAUUGAGUACAGUUGAGGUAGGCGGAAUUCGUGGUGUAGCGGUGAAAUGCUUAGAUAUCACGAAGAACUCCGAUUGCGAAGGCAGCCUACUAAACUGCCACUGACAUUGAUGCUCGAAAGUGUGGGUAUCAAACAGGAUUAGAUACCCCAGGAGUC
rnacentral:rRNA from 1 species